CUUGAACUCAGUUCCGGUACCUCUCAGGUGGGCGCCCUUAUGAGAGAAUAAGGGAGGUGUUCAUGGUGAGUUCUGGCACCUCUUUUUCCAGAAAAAAAUAGCACAGGGUAAUAAUAAUAAUAAUAAUAAUAAUAAUAAUAAUUUAUACCCCGCCCAUCUGGCUGGGUUUCCCCAGCCACUCUGGGCGGCUUCCAACCAAAUAUUAAAAACAAUACAGCGUCAGACAUUAGAAACUUCCCUAAACAGGGCCACCUUCAGUUGUCUUUUAAAAGUAAAAUAUUUGUUUAUUGCCUUGACAUUGGCUGGGAGGGCGUUCCACUGGGCAGGCAGCACUACCAAGAAGGCCCUCUGCCUGGUUCCCUGUAACCUCACUUCUUGCAGCGAGGGAACCACCAGAAGGCCCUCGGCACUGGACCUCAGUGUCUGGGCUGAACGAUUGGGAUGGAGACGCUCCUUCAGGUAUACAGGACCGAGGCCGUUUAGGGCUUUAAAGGUCAGCACCAACACUCUGAACUGUGCUCGGAAACAUACUGGGAGCCAAUGAAGAUCUUUCAGGACCGGUGUUAUAUGGUCUCGGCGGCCACUCCGUCACCAGUCUUGCUGCCACAUUCUGGAUUAACUGCAGUUUCCAAAUCACCUUCAAAGGUAGCCCCAUGUAGAGCGCAUUGCAGUAGUCCAAGCUGGAGAUAACUAGAGCAUGCACCACUCUGCAGCAUCACCUAACCUCCCCGCACAGAAAUCAGAAUGAAUCCCCAUCAAGUAGCCCGUAUUGUCUACCCUCCCUGCUAACCAUUCGGGAUGAACGUUCAAUAAACAAGUCAUACCAAAGUGCCUUCAGAGUGGAACAAGAUGCUGACCACAAGGAGAAGAUGUGGUCGCCAACCUUGGUUCAGAGAUACCAAAUAACUGCGGGAGGGAAUUGGCAGGGAGGUGGAGGACAUCCCAUGUUGACUAAUUCUCUCCUGGACUCUGAAAUCAGAAGUCGAGUAUAGGGGGAUGGGUGCAUUUGCGGGAAAAGAAUCGACGGCUGCGGGAGGGGUUAAGCACCUACGCCGCUGGCACAAUUCUUCCCCGCGAGCCCCUACCUCUGCAUUCACACUUGAGCAUUGCUUCGUUGUUGUUUUUCCCAUUUCCAGAAAGUAUGGACUUGGAACGAAGCGAUGUCUACAGAUACGAUGUGACAGGGAAGAACAUACAGGGGGGAAUACUUCCUCCGUGAAUUCCUGAUCAAGCCCAGAUGAUGUGGUUUUUGUGUGUGUGAAGCUCUGCUUGCCUGGUCCGGUUCUGGUUCUCUGCUUUCAGCUCUUGUUUCAAAUCCUCUUGCUGUUUGGGG